CCUACGGGAGGCAGCAGUAAGGAAUAUUGGUCAAUGGAGGCAACUCUGAACCAGCCAUGCCGCGUGCAGGAUGACGGCCCUAUGGGUUGUAAGCUGCUUUUAUACAAGAGAAAACCCUGGUACGUGUACCAGGUUGAUAGUAUUGUAAGAAUAAGCAUCGGCUAACUUCGUGCCAGCAGCCGCGGUAAGACGAAGGAUGCAAGCGUUAUCCGGAUUCAUUGGGUUUAAAGGGUGCGUAGGCGGACUGAUAAGUCAGUGGUGAAAUCUCUUUGCUUAACAAAGAAACUGCCAUUGAUACUGUCGGUCUAGAGUAUAGAUGACGUUGGCGGAAUAUGACAUGUAGUGGUGAAAUACUUAGAUAUGUCAUAGAACACCGAUUGCGAAGGCAGCUAACGAAACUAUAACUGACGCUGAGGCACGAAAGUGCGGGGAUCAAACAGGAUUAGAUACCCUGGUAGUCCGCACCGUAAACGAUGAUUACUCGUUGUUGGCGAUAUGACAGUCAGCGACCAAGCGAAAGCGAUAAGUAAUCCACCUGGGGAGACGCGCGACGAGAACGACAANAGAGUAGACGGCGNGAGAGNGCGACGGACGACACGAGGGGAGGUUAGG
rnacentral:rRNA from 1 species